rnacentral:rRNA from 1 species
GACGAACGCUGGCGGCGUGCUUAACACAUGCAAGUCGAGCGGAAAGGCCCUGCUUUUGUGGGGUGCUCGAGUGGCGAACGGGUGAGUAACACGUGAGUAACCUGCCCUUGACUUUGGGAUAACUUCAGGAAACUGGAGCUAAUACCGGAUAGGAGCUCCUGCUGCAUGGUGGGGGUUGGAAAGUUUCGGCGGUUGGGGAUGGACUCGCGGCUUAUCAGCUUGUUGGUGGGGUAGUGGCUUACCAAGGCUUUGACGGGUAGCCGGCCUGAGAGGGUGACCGGCCACAUUGGGACUGAGAUACGGCCCAGACUCCUACGGGAGGCAGCAGUGGGGAAUAUUGCACAAUGGGCGGAAGCCUGAUGCAGCAACGCCGCGUGCGGGAUGACGGCCUUCGGGUUGUAAACCGCUUUCGCCUGUGACGAAGCGUGAGUGACGGUAAUGGGUAAAGAAGCACCGGCUAACUACGUG